rnacentral:tRNA from 1 species
GAGCCCGUGGCUCAAUGGUAGAGCGUUCGACUCAAAUACCAAAUGUCUCGGGUUCA